rnacentral:lncRNA from 1 species
UUAUUUUAGUUUUAAUUUAAAAUAAAUUAGAAAAAUAUGAAAAUAAAAGAGGCGAAUCAUGUUUUUGGGCCAAAAUCUUAUUAAAAUUCCAACCUAAUGCAAUUGCUCCUUUUAAAACCCAGCCCAAAUUAGCCCUUAUCCAACCCCAAACUGGGUCGACCCGACCCAAACCCAAUAUCCAAAUCCAUUUCCCCACAUAAAUCAAAACCUAGACCUAAUACCUAAAAUCCCUAACACACAUAAACAGAUACAGACGCUUAUACAGAACAAUAAACACGCUGGAAAUUGGCUGAAGGGACGCGCAGCUUUGGCUUCUUCUUAACAAAUACACCCAGAUACACACGAGACAAUAUACACAAUAUACAGAGAAUAAAGACGUCUGAAGGGCUGCGCAACUUUGCUUCUUGUUGACGAAGCUCGAAGAUACACACGCCUAUACACCAUAUAGAGGACUGGAGAAUGCCCAAAGCUCUCUAUCUCUAUCCAUUACUGGAAUUCACCACCGGUCGACUACCCCUUAAACACGAGCACUCCCAGAUUUCAUCUUGUUCAGCCGUGUUCAUCGGAGAAACCCCAGACAUGCACAUCAUCUAAACUCCAAUCCCGAGUCAGACCCGACUGAAUACAAUACUUCUGGUCGCUUGAGCAUUUUCCGGCGAAUUUCAAUCCAAGAUAACACUUGAACACGAAAAUUCCAUCAGCGUUCCUGUUUGCCGAGUUUGUUUCGAUUAUUGUUGGUCGUUUGAGAGUUUGUUUGAGGUUCUCGCUCACAGUUCCGGUCCAUCGAGGUCUUCCGUGAUUUUCUGUAAUUCAGAGUUCCGUUAUCGAGCUUCGCUUUCAAAAUUAUAUGGGUCAUACGGUCCGUCUCUUGGCCAUUUCUCCCUUUUUCUUGCUCUUUGUUAUUCGCUUGUUAAACAAUAUGAAAUAUUUUAGCUCAUUAAAUGCCUCGGAAUAUUGUUUGUUUCUGUCACUUAUAAAGCUAUGAAGGGC